AUAUCAGUAGGUGGAGGAAAAGAAACCAAUUGGGAUCCCCUCAGUAGCAGCGAGUGAAAGGGGGUGCGCUCGUCCCUGAAUCUAGUACCAACUAGAGUUGUAGGGCGGCAAUUGUCCAGCGCGGUGCUCAUAUAAACCUGCUCGAUUGCUGAGCCAUUUGGGUCCAAAGAGGGUGUAAGUCCCGUCUUAGAGACCACCGCGCGUGACACAAAUUGUCCUGGGAGUAAUGCUGGUUGAUACUCCAGCACCAAAGUGGGAGAUGUCCAUCUUCCAAAGCUAAAUACAUACCCGAGACCGAUAGCGCACAAGUA
rnacentral:rRNA from 1 species